UCUUCCGUAGUAUAGUGGUCAGUAUGUGAGCUUGUCAUCUUCGACUUCGCUCGAGACCCGGGUUCAAUUCCCGGCGGGAGAG